rnacentral:rRNA from 1 species
UACGUAGGGCGCAAGCGUUGUCCGGAAUUAUUGGGCGUAAAGAGCUCGUAGGCGGUGUGUCGCGUCGGCCGUGAAAACCUGCAGCUUAACUGUGGGCUUGCGGUCGAUACGGGCAUCACUGGAGUUCGGCAGGGGAGACUGGAAUUCCUGGUGUAGCGGUGAAAUGCGCAGAUAUCAGGAGGAACACCGGUGGCGAAGGCGGCGCCUGGGUCGAUACUGACGCUGAGGACGAAAGCGUGGGGAGCGAAACAGG